CUCACUACCGAAACUCACCGAAGGAAACAGACGCCAGUGCUCCUCCCGGGGCUGCCACCACGGCUCCGGCAGGCGGGCCGGGGACCGGCCGAACCUGAGUUGACGGUGGAGGGGCUCGGGUUAGCUAGAUGGGCGGUUGGUUAGAUGCGUAAGCGGUAGUAUGCGAGCUCAGUUCGUUGUUGCUGGUUGGCUGUCUAGUCGGCCGAUCCGUCUGCUCACCCGGCCUGCCCUUUCCUGCCUUUCGUCUGCAGCGGCCGCCAGCUCCUGCUCGGUGUCCAAAACAAAAUGGCCGCCACGUCCAGUGCUUGUCUGACCGGCUAAAAUGGCGUCUACGCAAUUACGUCAGGCGUCAGAUCCGCGCACGACUAGAGGGCGGGAAAGAUUUGAGCUACGCCUGCGCAGAGUUGAGAAGCUGAUGUCUCCUCGACUUCCAACUGGAACCUUGAACCCCCACAUUUCUGGACCUUGAGCAUUCCUCAAGUAGGAAGAUGUAAUGCACCUUGACCUCUUUCUAAAUAAGACACUUCCCCAAAUAAGGGGAGUUGAGAGUGAACAGUCUUCACGUCUCCACCCACUUCCAGAUCCCAGAGGAGACAGACAUCGGAUGGCUGAUAAUCUUCCAAUGGAAAUCCAUGGUUCAAGUGCCACCUCUUCAGGAAAGCCAUCUGACUUCAAUCAGGUCAGCCCUGACAAAGGUCAGCUAGCCCCUUGAGGACAUCAGCUUUGGCCUCAGGGUCCUAAUGGCAGCAGAACCACUGACAGAGCUAGAGGAGUCCAUUGAGACCGUGGUCACCACCUUCUUCACCUUUGCAAGGCAGGAGGGCCGGAAGGAUAGCCUCAGCGUCAACGAGUUCAAAGAGCUGGUUACCCAGCAGUUGCCCCAUCUGCUCAAGGGUGUGGGUGGCUGCAUGUGUCAAUGGUUGCAGGUUUUCUUUUGUUUUUUCGAGACAAAGUCUCACUCUGUUGCCCAGGCCGGAGUGCAGUGGUGUGAUCUUGGCUCACUGCAACCUCCAUCUCCGGGGUUCAAGUGAUUCUCCUGCCUCAGCCUCCUGAGUAGCUGGGAUUACAGGUGUGUGCCACCACGCCGAGCCUAUUUCUGUAUUUUUAGUAGAGACAGGGUUUCACCAGGUUGGCCAGGCUGGUCUCGAACUCCUGACCUCAGGUGAUC
rnacentral:lncRNA from 1 species